rnacentral:tRNA from 1 species
AGGGAUAUAGCUCAGGUGGUAUAGAGUUUUCGGCUGAUAACCGAAAGGUCGUGAGUUCAAGUCUCACUAUCCCUACCA